AUUGAACGCUGGCGGCAUGCCUUACACAUGCAAGUCGAACGGCAGCACGGGAGCAAUCCUGGUGGCGAGUGGCGAACGGGUGAGUAAUGUAUCGGAACGUGCCCAGUCGUGGGGGAUAACGUAGCGAAAGCUACGCUAAUACCGCAUACGAUCUAUGGAUGAAAGCGGGGGAUCGCAAGACCUCGCGCGAUUGGAGCGGCCGAUAUCAGAUUAGGUAGUUGGUGGGGUAAAGGCUCACCAAGCCGACGAUCUGUAGCUGGUCUGAGAGGACGACCAGCCACACUGGGACUGAGACACGGCCCAGACUCCUACGGGAGGCAGCAGUGGGGAAUGUUGGACAAUGGGCGCAAGCCUGAUCCAGCAAUGCCGCGUGCAGGAUGAAGGCCUUCGGGUUGUAAACUGCUUUUGUACGGAACGAAACGGCGAGCUCUAAUACAGUUUGCUAAUGACGGUACCGUAAGAAUAAGUCACGGCUAACUACGUGCCAGCCGCCGCCGUAA
rnacentral:rRNA from 1 species